UACAUGGGGUGCAACCGUUGCUCGGAAUCAUUGGGCGUAAAGCGCGCGUAGGCGGUUACUUAAGUCGAAUGUGAAAGCCCUCGGCUUAACUGAGGAAGUGCAUCCGAAACUGAGUAGCUAGAGUACGAAAGAGGGUCGCGGAAUUCCCGGUGUAGAGGUGAAAUUCGUAGAUAUUGGGAAGAACACCGGUGGCGAAAGCGCUCUGCUGGACCUGCACUGACACUGAGGGACGAAAGCUAGGGGAGCGAACAGG
rnacentral:rRNA from 1 species